UUGUCCAAUUUGCUGGGGUACUCCCUGUGGUCGCUUUAUUUUUAAAUGUAAUCAACAUAAGUGAACACAGCUGGUGGUAUCUCAGUGAAUUGAGCAUA
rnacentral:pre_miRNA from 1 species